rnacentral:rRNA from 1 species
AUUGAACGCUGGCGGCAUGCCUUACACAUGCAAGUCGAACGGUAACAGGUCUUCGGAUGCUGACGAGUGGCGAACGGGUGAGUAAUACAUCGGAACGUGCCUAGUAGAGGGGGAUAACUACUCGAAAGAGUGGCUAAUACCGCAUGAGAUCUACGGAUGAAAGCAGGGGAUCGCAAGACCUUGUGCUACUAGAGCGGCCGAUGGCAGAUUAGGUAGUUGGUGGGAUAAAAGCUUACCAAGCCGACGAUCUGUAGCUGGUCUGAGAGGACGAUCAGCCACACUGGGACUGAGACACGGCCCAGACUCCUACGGGAGGCAGCAGUGGGGAAUUUUGGACAAUGGGCGAAAGCCUGAUCCAGCAAUGCCGCGUGCAGGAUGAAGGCCUUCGGGUUGUAAACUGCUUUUGUACGGAACGAAAAGCCCCGGGUUAAUACCCUGGAGUCAUGACGGUACCGUAAGAAUAAGCACCGGCUAACUACGUGCCAGCAGCCGCCGUAA